rnacentral:rRNA from 1 species
CCCGACGAUUUCCGAAUGGGGAAACCCAAUAUCCAAUGGAUAUUAUCAUUAACUGAAUACAUAGGUUAAUGAAGCGAACCGGGAGAACUGAAACAUCUCAGUACCCCGAGGAAAAGAAAUCAACCGAGAUUCCCCUAGUAGCGGCGAGCGAACGGGGAACAGCCCAGAGUCUUAAUCAACAGCAGCAUCAGGAGAACGGUCUGGAAAGUCCGGCAGUAAAGGGUGAUAGCCCCGUAUCUGAAGAUGCUGUUAUUGUGAACUCGACGAGUAGGGCGGGACACGUGUUAUCCUGUCUGAAUAUGGGGGGACCAUCCUCCAAGGCUAAAUACUCCUGAUUGACCGAUAGUGAACCAGUACCGUGAGGGAAAGGCGAAAAGAACCCCGGCGAGGGGAGUGAAAAAGAACCUGAAACCGUGUACGUACAAGCAGUAGGAGCCUCUUUAUGGGGUGACUGCGUACCUUUUGUAUAAUGGGUCAGCGACUUAUAUUCUGUAGCAAGGUUAACCGUAUAGGGGAGCCGUAGGGAAACCGAGUCUUAACUGGGCGAAUAAGUUGCAGGGUAUAGACCCGAAACCCGGUGAUCUAUCCAUGGGCAGGUUGAAGGUUGGGUAACACUAACUGGAGGACCGAACCGACUAAUGUUGAAAAAUUAGCGGAUGACUUGUGGAUGGGGGUGAAAGGCCAAUCAAACCGGGAGAUAGCUGGUUCUCCCCGAAAGCUAUUUAGGUAGCGCCUCGUGAACUCAUCUUCGGGGGUAGAGCACUGUUUCGACUAGGGGGUCAUCCCGACUUACCAACUCGAUGCAAACUGCGAAUACCGAAGAAUGUUAUCACGGGAGACACACGGCGGGUGCUAACGUCCGUCGUGAAGAGGGAAACAACCCAGACCGCCAGCUAAGGUCCCAAAGUCAUGGUUAAGUGGGAAACGAAGUGGGAAGGCUCAGACAGCCAGGAUGUUGGCUUAGAAGCAGCCAUCAUUUAAAGAAAGCGUAAUAGCUCACUGGUCGAGUCGGCCCGCGCGGAAGAUGUAACGGGGCUAAACCAUGCACCGAAGCUGCGGCAGCGACACUUAGGUGUUGUUGGGUAGGGGAGCGUUCUGUAAGCCUGCGAAGGUGUACUGUGAGGUAUGCUGGAGGUAUCAGAAGUGCGAAUGCUGACAUAAGUAACGAUAAUGCGGGUGAAAAACCCGCACGCCGGAAGACCAAGGGUUCCUGUCCAACGUUAAUCGGGGCAGGGUGAGUCGACCCCUAAGGCGAGGCUGAAAAGCGUAGUCGAUGGGAAACGGGUUAAUAUUCCCGUACUGGUGGUAACUGCGAUGGGGGAACGGAGAAGGCUAGGUUGUCCGGGCGACGGUCGUCCCGGUUCAAGCAUGUAGGCAGAGUGAUUAGGCAAAUCCGGUCACUUAAUGCUGAGGUGUGAUGACGAACCACUAAGGUGGUGAAGCAAUUGAUGCCCUGCUUCCAGGAAAAGCCUCUAAGCUUCAGGUUACCAACAAUCGUACCCCAAACCGACACAGGUGGUCAGGUAGAGAAUACUCAGGCGCUUGAGAGAACUCGGGUGAAGGAACUAGGCAAAAUGGUGCCGUAACUUCGGGAGAAGGCACGCUGGCGGUAAGUGAAGUCCCUUGCGGACGGAGCCGAAGCCAGUCGAAGAUACCAGCUGGCUGCAACUGUUUAUUAAAAACACAGCACUGUGCAAACACGAAAGUGGACGUAUACGGUGUGACGCCUGCCCGGUGCUGGAAGGUUAAUUGAUGGGGUUAUCCUUAGGGAGAAGCUCUUGAUCGAAGCCCCAGUAAACGGCGGCCGUAACUAUAACGGUCCUAAGGUAGCGAAAUUCCUUGUCGGGUAAGUUCCGACCUGCACGAAUGGCGUAAUGAUGGCCAGGCUGUCUCCACCCGAGACUCAGUGAAAUUGAACUCGCUGUGAAGAUGCAGUGUACCCGCGGCAAGACGGAAAGACCCCGUGAACCUUUACUAUAGCUUGACACUGAACAUUGAGCCUUGAUGUGUAGGAUAGGUGGGAGACUAUGAAGUGUGGACGCCAGUCUGCAUGGAGUCAACCUUGAAAUACCACCCUUUAACGUUUGAUGUUCUAACCUAGGUCCAUAAUCUGGAUCGGGGACCGUGUCUGGUGGGUAGUUUGACUGGGGCGGUCUCCUCCUAAAGAGUAACGGAGGAGCACGAAGGUUGGCUAAGCAUGGUCGGACAUCAUGCGGUUAGUGCAAAGGCAUAAGCCAGCUUGACUGUGAGAGUGACGGCUCGAGCAGGUACGAAAGUAGGUCUUAGUGAUCCGGUGGUUCUGAAUGGAAGGGCCAUCGCUCAACGGAUAAAAGGUACUCCGGGGAUAACAGGCUGAUACCGCCCAAGAGUUCAUAUCGACGGCGGUGUUUGGCACCUCGAUGUCGGCUCAUCACAUCCUGGGGCUGAAGUAGGUCCCAAGGGUAUGGCUGUUCGCCAUUUAAAGUGGUACGCGAGCUGGGUUUAGAACGUCGUGAGACAGUUCGGUCCCUAUCUGCCGUGGGCGUUGGAAGAUUGAGAGGGGUUGCUCCUAGUACGAGAGGACCGGAGUGAACGCACCACUGGUGUUCGGGUUGUCAUGCCAAUGGCAUUGCCCGGUAGCUAAGUGCGGAAGAGAUAACCGCUGAAAGCAUCUAAGCGGGAAACUUGCCUCGAGAUGAGUCUUCCCUGUCACCUUGAGUGACCUAAAGGAACGUUUAAGACUAAGACGUUGAUAGGCUGGGUGUGUAAG